UACGGAGGGUGCAAGCGUUAAUCGGAAUUACUGGGCGUAAAGCGCACGUAGGCGGUUUUCUAAGUCAGAUGUGAAAUCCCCGGGCUUAACCUGGGAACUGCACCUGAUACUGGAAGACUAGAAUGUGGGAGAGGAGAGUGGAAUUUCCGGUGUAGCGGUGAAAUGCAUAGAGAUCGGAAGGAACACCAGUGGCGAAGGCGGCUCUCUGGACCAACAUUGACGCUGAGGUGCGAAAGCGUGGGUAGCAAACAGG
rnacentral:rRNA from 1 species